GGGGGUUACCAAAAGGCCCGAUGACAAAUCCCUGGUCCACUUCCAGUUGUAGCAAGGUAGUGACUGUAGUAGGGUUAUUUGUGGCUGACUGCAAAUUGUGACACUCUAAAACCCCUGUUGGCAUGUAAAUGAGCCCUGUGCAUAAAAAUUCCACCAGGUGUUUGGAGGGGUGAGUGGACAGCAUAUGUUCAAGUACAGGAACGUUCACU